rnacentral:rRNA from 1 species
UACGGAGGAUGCAAGCGUUAUCCGGAUUCAUUGGGUUUAAAGGGUGCGUAGGCGGAAUAGUAAGUCAGCGGUGAAAGCCUGCGGCUCAACCGUAGAAAUGCCAUUGAUACUGCUAUUCUUGAGUUCAGUUGAGGUGGGCGGAAUGUGUAAUGUAGCGGUGAAAUGCUUAGAUAUUACACAGAACACCAAUUGCGAAGGCAGCUCACUAAACUGUCACUGACGCUGAGGCACGAAAGCGUGGGGAGCAAACAGG